GUUGAACGCUGGCGGCAUGCUUUACACAUGCAAGUCGAACGGUAACAGGGAGCUUGCUCCGCUGACGAGUGGCGAACGGGUGAGUAAUGCGUCGGAACGUGCCGAGUAGUGGGGGAUAACGCAUCGAAAGGUGUGCUAAUACCGCAUACGAACUGAGGGUGAAAGUGGGGGACCUGCCGGCCUCACGCUAUUCGAGCGGCCGACGUCUGAUUAGCUAGUUGGUGAGGUAAAGGCUCACCAAGGCGACGAUCAGUAGCGGGUCUGAGAGGAUGAUCCGCCACACUGGGACUGAGACACGGCCCAGACUCCUACGGGAGGCAGCAGUGGGGAAUUUUGGACAAUGGGCGCAAGCCUGAUCCAGCCAUGCCGCGUGUCUGAAGAAGGCCUUCGGGUUGUAAAGGACUUUUGUCCGGGAGCAAAUGCUGGUGGCUAACAUCCACCGGAGCUGAGAGUACCGGAAGAAUAAGCACCGGCUAACUACGUGCCAGCCGCCGCGGUAAGAC
rnacentral:rRNA from 1 species